rnacentral:rRNA from 1 species
GAACCUUACCAGGCCUUGACAUGCAGAGAACUUUCCAGAGAUGGAUUGGUGCCUUCGGGAACUCUGACACAGGUGCUGCAUGGCUGUCGUCAGCUCGUGUCAUGAGAUGUUGGGUUAAGUCCCGUAACGAGCGCAACCCUUGUCCUUAGUUACCAGCACGUUAUGGUGGGCACUCUAAGGAGACUGCCGGUGACAACCGGAGGAAGGUGGGGAUGACGUCAAGUCAUCAUGGCCCUUACGGCCUGGGCUACACACGUGCUACAAUGGUCGGUACAAAGGGUUGCCAAGCCGCGAGGUGGAGCUAAUCCCAUAAAACCGAUCGUAGUCCGGAUCGCAGUCUGCAACUCGACUGCGUGAAGUCGGAAUCGCUAGUAAUCGUGAAUCAGAAUAUCACGGUGAAUACGUUCCCGGGCCUU